rnacentral:rRNA from 1 species
UUAAAUUGAAGAGUUUGAUCAUGGCUCAGAUUGAACGCUGGCGGCAGGCCUAACACAUGCAAGUCGAACGGUAACAGAAAGCAGCUUGCUGCUUUGCUGACGAGUGGCGGACGGGUGAGUAAUGUCUGGGAAACUGCCUGAUGGAGGGGGAUAACUACUGGAAACGGUAGCUAAUACCGCAUAACGUCGCAAGACCAAAGAGGGGGACCUUCGGGCCUCUUGCCAUCGGAUGUGCCCAGAUGGGAUUAGCUUGUU